rnacentral:rRNA from 1 species
UACAGAGGGUGCAAGCGUUGUUCGGAAUUAUUGGGCGUAAAGGGCGCGUAGGCGGUGCGGUAAGUCUGUAGUGAAAUCUCUGGGCUCAACUCAGAGUCUGCUAUAGAAACUGCCGUGCUUGAGUGUGGGAGAGGUGAGUGGAAUUCCUGGUGUAGCGGUGAAAUGCGUAGAUAUCGGGAGGAACACCUGUGGCGAAAGCGGCUCACUGGACCACAACUGACGCUGAGGCGCGAAAGCCAGGGGAGCAAACGGG